GGUCUCUGAUGAAUAGUAAAAGGUCUGAUUAUUCUAAAGACUUGAACUUCCAUGACCUUUUCUCCCAGCAGUUUCUCACCAGCCGCAGCACAGUAAUGGUGUGGCUGGCAGUGUUUGCUGGCACCUCGUGAUGUGUGCGGUUCACGUUAACCUGAACUACCAGAGCCAUGACUGGGAUCAGCAUCCAGCAGUCAUACUGGAAGGAGUUUGAGGUCUUGGAUUGUUCUAACUGGACAUGUGAUCUGUCUUUUCUGCUGAGACC
rnacentral:snoRNA from 1 species